rnacentral:ncRNA from 1 species
GAAGGUGAAGAUACCUUCAUUUAAAAGUUAGACAAAAAGACCCCGUGCAACUUUGAAAAUUAACUUUAUUCAGGAGUAAAAGAUUUUUAGGUGGGGCGCCUAGAAAGCAAGUCUAACCUUUCUGAAUAACUAACUCUUUCCGGAUUUGACCCGAUUAUAUUCGAUCAUAGGAGAAGUUACGCCGGGGAUAACAGGCUAAUCCUUUAGUAGAGUUCGUAUUGGCUAAAGGGAUUGGCACCUCGAUGUUGAAUCAGGGAUAAUAGCUUCAAGGCGUAGAGGCUUUGAAAGUAGGUCUGUUCGACCUUUAAUACCCUACGUGAUUUGAGUUCAGACCGGCGUAAGCCAGGUUGGUUUCUAUCUGCUUUACA